UGGCAAACCUCCAGCGUGCUUGGAUCUGUGGUGACCUGUGCAUUCCUACACUGCUCGCCAGAACAGUAUUGAAAUAGUUGAGGGUUUGUCCUGCUCCAUCCAGAGUAAGGUUAUAGAAAUUUCAGACAAUU
ensembl:snoRNA